rnacentral:tRNA from 1 species
GCCUGGGUGGCUCAGUCGGUGAAGCGUCCAACUCUUGUGUUGGGGGCCCAGGUCAUGAUCUCACCAUUCGUGAGUUCGAGCCCCACCUCGGGCU